rnacentral:rRNA from 1 species
UACGUAGGUGGCAAGCGUUGUCCGGAUUUACUGGGCGUAAAGAGCGCGCAGGCGGUCGUUCAAGUCGCGUGUGAAAGCCCCCGGCUCAACUGGGGAGGGUCACGCGAUACUGAUCGACUGGAAGGCAGGAGAGGGUAGUGGAAUUCCCGGUGUAGUGGUGAAAUGCGUAGAUAUCUGGAGGAACACCGGUGGCGAAGGCGGGUCUCUGGGCCGAUACUGACGCUGAGGAGCGAAAGCGUGGGGGAGCGAACAGG